rnacentral:rRNA from 1 species
AGGAACCUGCCUCAAAGAGGGGGACAACAGUUGGAAACGACUGCUAAUACCGCAUAAGCCCACGGCUCGGCAUCGAGCAGAGGGAAAAGGAGCAAUCCGCUUUGAGAUGGCCUCGCGUCCGAUUAGCUAGUUGGUGAGGUAAUGGCCCACCAAGGCAACGAUCGGUAGCCGGACUGAGAGGUUGAACGGCCACAUUGGGACUGAGACACGGCCCAGACUCCUACGGGAGGCAGCAGUGGGGAAUAUUGCACAAUGGGGGAAACCCUGAUGCAGCGACGCCGCGUGGAGGAAGAAGGUCUUCGGAUUGUAAACUCCUGUUGUUGGGGAAGAUAAUGACGGUACCCAACAAGGAAGUGACGGCUAACUACGUGCCAGCAGCCGCGGUAAAACGUAGGUCACAAGCGUUGUCCGGAAUUACUGGGUGUAAAGGGAGCGCAGGCGGGAAGACAAGUUGGAAGUGAAAUCUAUGGGCUCAACCCAUAAACUGCUUUCAAAACUGUUUUUCUUGAGUAGUGCAGAGGUAGGCGGAAUUCCCGGUGUAGCGGUGGAAUGCGUAGAUAUCGGGAGGAACACCAGUGGCGAAGGCGGCCUACUGGGCACCAACUGACGCUGAGGCUCGAAAGUGUGGGUAGCAAACAGGAUUAGAUACCCUGGUAGUCCACACCGUAAACGAUGAUUACUAGGUGU